CCUACGGGUGGCAGCAGUGGGGAAUAUUGCACAAUGGGGGAAACCCUGAUGCAGCGACGCCGCGUGAGUGAAGAAGUAUUUCGGUAUGUAAAGCUCUAUCAGCAGGGAAGAAAAUGACGGUACCUGAUUAAGAAGCCCCGGCUAACUACGUGCCAGCAGCCGCGGUAAUACGUAGGGGGCAAGCGUUAUGCGGAUUUACUGGGUGUAAAGGGAGCGUAGACGGGAUAGCAAGUCUGAUGUGAAAUCCCGGGGCUUAACCCCAGAACUGCAUUUGAAAAUGUUAGUCUAGAGUGCAGGAGAGGUAGGUGGAAUUCCUGGUGUAGCGGUGAAAUGCGUAGAUAUCAGGAGGAAUACCAGUGGCGAAGGCGGCUUACUGGACUGUAACUGACGUUGAGGCGCGAAAGCGUGGGGAGCAAACAGGAUUAGAUACCCCUGUAGUC
rnacentral:rRNA from 1 species